AGAGUUUGAUCCUGGCUCAGAUUGAACGCUGGCGGCAGGCCUAACACAUGCAAGUCGAACGGUAACAGGAAGCAGCUUGCUGCUUUGCUGACGAGUGGCGGACGGGUGAGUAAUGUCUGGGAAACUGCCUGAUGGAGGGGGAUAACUACUGGAAACGGUGGCUAAUACCGCAUAACGUCGCAAGACCAAAGAGGGGGACCUUCGGGCCUCUUGCCAUCAGAUGUGCCCAGAUGGGAUUAGCUUGUUGGUGAGGUAACGGCUCACCAAGGCGACGAUCCCUAGCUGGUCUGAGAGGAUGACCAGCCACACUGGAACUGAGACACGGUCCAGACUCCUACGGGARGCACGCAGUGGGGAWUAUUGCACAAUGGGCGCAAGCCUGAUGCAGCCAUUGCCGCGUGUAUGAAGAAGGCCUUCGGGYUGUARAGUACUUUCAGCGGGGAGGAAGGUGUUGUGGUUAAUAACCGCAGCAAUUGACGUUACCCGCAGAAGAAGCACCGGCUAACUCCGUGCCAGCAGCCGCGGUAAUACGGAGGGUGCAAGCGUUAAUCGGAAUUACUGGGCGUAAAGCGCACGCAGGCGGUCUGUCAAGUCGGAUGUGAAAUCCCCGGGCUCAACCUGGGAACUGCAUUCGAAACUGGCAGGCUUGAGUCUUGUAGAGGGGGGUAGAAUUCCAGGUGUAGCGGUGAAAUGCGUAGAGAUCUGGAGGAAUACCGGUGGCGAAGGCGGCCCCCUGGACAAAGACUGACGCUCAGGUGCGAAAGCGUGGGGAGCAAACAGGAUUAGAUACCCUGGUAGUCCACGCCGUAAACGAUGUCUACUUGGAGGUUGUGCCCUUGAGGCGUGGCUUCCGGAGCUAACGCGUUAAGUAGACCGCCUGGGGAGUACGGCCGCAAGGUUAAAACUCAAAUGAAUUGACGGGGGCCCGCACAAGCGGUGGAGCAUGUGGUUUAAUUCGAUGCAACGCGAAGAACCUUACCUGGUCUUGACAUCCACGGAAGUUUUCAGAGAUGAGAAUGUGCCUUCGGGAACCGUGAGACAGGUGCUGCAUGGCUGUCGUCAGCUCGUGUUGUGAAAUGUUGGGUUAAGUCCCGCAACGAGCGCAACCCUUAUYCUUUUGUUGCCAGCGGUCCGGCCGGKAACUCAAAGGAGACUGCCAGUGAUAAACUGRAGGAAGGUGGGGAGURACGUCAAGUCACUCAUGGCCCUCUAUCGACACASSAGCUACACACGUGCUACAAUGGCGCAUACAAAGAGAAGCGACCUCGCGAGAGCAAGCGGACCUCAUAAAGUGCGUCGUAGUCCGGAUUGGAGUCUGCAACUCGACUCCAUGAAGUCGGAAUCGCUAGUAAUCGUGGAUCAGAAUGCCACGGUGAAUACGUUCCCGGGCCUUGUACACACCGCCCGUCACACCAUGGGAGUGGGUUGCAAAAGAAGUAGGUAGCUUAACCUUCGGGAGGGCGCUUACCACUUUGUGAUUCAUGACUGGGGUGAAGUCGUAACAAGGUAGCC
rnacentral:rRNA from 1 species